UACAGGGGGGGCAAGCGUUGUUCGGAAUUACUGGGCGUAAAGCGCACGUAGGCGGAUUGUUAAGUCAGGGGUGAAAUCCUGGAGCUCAACUCCAGAACUGCCUUUGAUACUGGCGAUCUUGAGUCCGGGAGAGGUGAGUGGAACUGCGAGUGUAGAGGUGAAAUUCGUAGAUAUUCGCAAGAACACCAGUGGCGAAGGCGGCUCACUGGCCCGGUACUGACGCUGAGGUGCGAAAGCGUGGGGAGCAAACAGG
rnacentral:rRNA from 1 species